rnacentral:rRNA from 1 species
UUAGUGGCGACCGGGUGCGUAACACGUAGCUGACCUGCCCCUCAGCGGGGGACAACAGUUCGAAAGGACUGCUAAUACCGCAUACGCUCGAAGAGCUUAGACGCUCGUCGAGAAAACUUCUGGGGUUGAGGGAGGGAGCUGCGGCCCAUCAGGUAGUUGGUAAGGUAACGGCUUACCAAGCCAUCGACGGGUAGGGGCCUGAGAGGGUGGUCCCCCACACUGGAACUGACAAACGGUCCAG